UACGGGGGGAGCAAGCGUUGUUCGGAUUUACUGGGCGUAAAGGGCGCGUAGGCGGUCAGCACAAGUCAGUUGUGAAAUCUCCGGGCUUAACUCGGAAAGGUCAACUGAUACUGUGCGACUAGAGUGCGGAAGGGGCAACUGGAAUUCUUGGUGUAGCGGUGAAAUGCGUAGAUAUCAGGAGGAACACCGGUGGCGAAGGCGGCUAUCUGGACGGUCACUGACGCUGAGAUGCGAAAGCGUGGGGAGCAAACAGG
rnacentral:rRNA from 1 species